rnacentral:snoRNA from 1 species
GCUGCCUAAAUGAUGACAUUCUUUGGAAAGCUAUGGAUUCUUUUCCAAGUGAAGCCUUUUGUCAUAGUUACACUGAUAGGCUAC